rnacentral:rRNA from 1 species
AACCUGGUUGAUCCUGCCAGUAGUCAUAUGCUUGUCUCAAAGAUUAAGCCAUGCAUGUGUAAGCACACACUGUUUAAAAGUGAAGCCGCGAAUGGCUCAUUACAACAGCCACAGUUUAUUAGAACUUACAAUCAUGGAUAACUGUGGUAAUUCUAGAGCUAAUACACGCGCAAAAACUUCAACUGAAUUGGUUGAAGUGCUUUUAUUAGAACAAAAACCGAACGGCGUUUGACGAAUGUUGAACGUCGAAACUGUUUGGUGAAUCUGAAUAACUAUUUCUGAUCGCAUGGUCUAGCACCGGCGACAUCACUUUCAAGUGUCUGCCUUAUCAACCUUCGAUGGUAGUCUAUGCGACUACCAUGGUGAUAACGGGUAACGGAGAAUCAGGGUUCGACUCCGGAGAGGGAGCCUGAGAAACGGCUACCACAUCCAAGGAAGGCAGCAGGCGCGCAAAUUACCCACUCCCAGCUUGGGGAGGUAGUGACGAAAAAUAACGAGACGAUUCUCGUUUGAGAAACGUUAUCGAAAUGAGUACGCUUUACACACGCUAACGAGUAGCAAUUGGAGGGCAAGUCUGGUGCCAGCAGCCGCGGUAAUUCCAGCUCCAAUAGCGUAUAUUAAAGUUGCUGCGGUUAAAACGCUCGUAGUUGAAUUGUGGUCUUAGACAACAGUCCCCCUACAUAGGUGUGGCACGGUUGCUCGAGAUCUUCAUUCGUGGUUGCUGUUGUUGCUCUUCAUUGAGUGUCAAUGGUGCCUCGAGAUUUUACUUUGAAAAAAUUAGAGUGCUCAAAGCAGGUUGUGAUGCCUGAAUAAUGGUGCAUGGAAUAAUAGAAUACGAUCUCGGUUCUAUUUUGUUGGUUUUCGAACCGGAGAUAAUGAUUGAAAGGAACAGACGGGGGCAUUCGUAUUGCUGCGUUAGAGGUGAAAUUCUUGGAUCGCAGCAAGAUGAACAAUUGCGAAAGCAUUUGCCAAGAAUGUUUUCAUUAAUCAAGAACGAAAGUUAGAGGUUCGAAGGCGAUCAGAUACCGCCCUAGUUCUAACGGUAAACUAUGCCAACCAGCGAUUCGCCGAAGUUCAUUUAAGACUCGGCGAGCAGCUUCCGGGAAACCAAAGUGUUUCGGUUCCGGGGGAAGUAUGGUUGCAAAGCUGAAACUUAAAGGAAUUGACGGAAGGGCACCACCAGGAGUGGAGCCUGCGGCUUAAUUUGACUCAACACGGGAAAACUCACCCGGCCCGGACACUGGAAGGAUUGACAGAUUGACAGCUCUUUCUUGAUUCAGUGGGUAGUGGUGCAUGGCCGUUCUUAGUUGGUGGAGCGAUUUGUCUGGUUAAUUCCGAUAACGAACGAGACUCUACCCUAUUAAAUAGUGACAGUAUUGUAUUUUUUGUGCUGAUCACUUCUUAGAGGGACUGGCAAAUUGAAAGCUGCACGAAAAAGAGCAAUAACAGGUCUGUGAUGCCCUUCGAUGUCCGGGGCUGCACGCGCGCUACAAUGAAAGCGUCAACGUGAGUUACGUCCUUACCUGAAAAGGUUUGGCAAUCGAAUGAAACGUUUUCUUGAAUGGAAUAGGGAAUUGCAAUUGUUUCCCUUGAACGAGGAAUUCCCAGUAAGCGUGAGUCAUUAGCUCGCGUUGAUUACGUCCCUGCCCUUUGUACACACCGCCCGUCGCUACUACCGAUUGGAUGAUUUAGUGAGGUGUUUUGACUGGCGCCAGUAGUCGGAUGUAUUCGGCUUCGCGCCGGGAAAUUUCCCAAACCAAAUCAUCUAGAGGAAGUAAAAGUCGUAACAAGGUUUCCGUAGGUGAACCUGCGGAAGGAUCAUUA